AAUGUGAGUUGGACUGGAAGAAUGUCUAUUACAGAUCCUAAUUGAAGUAGCGAUUAUCCAGGCUUGUAUCCUGGGGGCUGAUGAGGAGUAGGGUUUCUGGACAACUUAAACAGAUCCAGAGUUAGUCGAUCCUAAUCUCAAUAAUGGGAGAAAGGGAGUACAGUUGAUAUUCUGUAACUGACAACAGUUCGCGGCAACGCAUACUAUUUUUCUCCGCCAAUCUUAUACCGUUGGUAGGGAUCUCUUUCCUACAUGACAGUACUAAUACCCAGGGAAACUGGUCAUCAGGCGAACUGCGGCGUUCUGCUGGCAAAACAUAGCUUCGGUUAUGUCAAUGGCUAUUGGAUUGGUCCAUGAAGCGAAAAAUAGUUUACUGUGUCACUCGUACCGAUAACCGCAUCAGGUCUUCUAGGUAAGUAGCCUAUGGCCAUUGAGGCAUGAUAGUUCAGGGAAUUCGGCCAAUUAGAGCUGUAACUUCGGGAUAAAGCUUGGCUCUGAUGAAAAUCAGAACCGAUUGUUACGCGGAGAGCCCAACUGUUUAAUAAAAACGUAGUGUCGCGCUGUGGUAGUAUAGCCAGUGAACGCGACAUGAAUCCUGCUCAGUGCUGUGUCUGUUAAUAUGGUUCAAGCCAACGAAGCACCGGUAAAUAGCUGGGGUAACUAUGACUCUUAUCAAAGUAGCGAAAUACCUCGUCACUUAAUUAGUGACCUGCAUGAACGGAGCUAUGAGGUUCUCACUGUCCCAAACUGUCUCUCAGCGAACCAACUGUAGUGGGAACGGUCACUAGAUAUCCAGCGGGGAAAGAAGACCCUGUAGAGCUUCACUUUGGUCUAGUCUUGUAUAGUUCCUGCGGGGGUGUAGACUAGGUGGGAGAGCAAUCGAUUCUGAAAAACCACUACCCUGUUUGGAAUUAUGCUUACCUAUCACAAGGAAUAGGACUAGAUAGAAAGUUUGGCUGGGGCGGCACACCUUCGAAAGAGCAGCGAAGGUGUCCUAAGUGAGCUCAGUGAGGACAGAAAUCUCACGUUGAGGAUAAGGC
rnacentral:ncRNA from 1 species